UACGUAGGUGGCAAGCGUUGUCCGGAAUUAUUGGGCGUAAAGCGCGCGCAGGUGGUUUCUUAAGUCUGAUGUGAAAGCCCACGGCUCAACCGUGGAGGGUCAUUGGAAACUGGGGAACUUGAGUGCAGAAGAGGAAAGUGGAAUUCCAAGUGUAGCGGUGAAAUGCGUAGAUAUUUGGGGGAACACCAGUGGCGAAGGCGACUUUCUGGUCUGUAACUGACACUGAGGCGCGAAAUCGUGGGGAGCAAACAGG
rnacentral:rRNA from 1 species